CCCUUAGAUGUCCUGGGCCGCACGCGCGCUACACUGAGUGUCUGAGAUACGAGUCUGCCUGGUCCGGCAAGGUCUAGGUAAUCGCUAAAAGACACAUCAUGCUUGGGAUAGAUUAUUGCAAAUAUUAAUCUUGAACGAGGAAUUCCUAGUAAGCGCAAGUCCACAGCUUGCGUUUAUUACGUCCCUGCCCUUUGUACACACCGCCCGUCGCUACUACUGAUUGGAUGUUUAAGCGAGGUUCUCGAACUGCUAGCGACUUAGCUUCGGUGAGGUCGCAGUGUGGGAAGUGAACCUAGCUUUGGUGUCUAGAGGAAGUAAAAGUCGUAACA
rnacentral:rRNA from 1 species